UACAGAGGUCUCAAGCGUUGUUCGGAUUCAUUGGGCGUAAAGGGUGCGUAGGUGGUGGGGUAAGUCGGAUGUGAAAUCCCGGGGCUCAACCCCGGAACUGCAUUCGAUACUGCCUUGCUCGAGUACUGGAGAGGAGACUGGAAUUUACGGUGUAGCAGUGAAAUGCGUAGAUAUCGUAAGGAAGACCAGUGGCGAAGGCGAGUCUCUGGACAGUUCCUGACGCUGAGGCACGAAGGCCAGGGGAGCAAACGGG
rnacentral:rRNA from 1 species